CAGAGAGAGAGAGAGAGAUAGAGAGAGAUAGAGAGAGACAGACAGACAACCAGACAGAGAGAGAAAGAGAGACAGAGACAGACAGAAACAGAGAGAGAGACAGAGAGAGAGAGAUAGAGAGAGACAGAGAGACAGACAGACAGACAGAGAGAGACAGACAGACAGACAGACAGAGAGAGAGACAGAGACAAAGAUAGACAGAAAGAGAAAGAGAGACAGAGAGAGAGAGAGAGACAGACAGACAGACAGACAUACAGAGAGAGAGAGACAGAGACAGAGACAAAGAUAGACAGAAAGAGAAAGAGAGACAGAGAGAGAGAGAGAGAAACGGAGAGAGACAGAGACAGACAGACAGAGAGACAUAGAGAGACACAGAUAGUGAGUUAAGAGACAGAGACAGACAGAGAGAGAGAGGCUUUGUUUUUCUUCAGUGACACUCGCUCCCUCUCUCGUCUCCUCACUUUCACCAGUGGACAAAUGUGGACACAAACUCCUGAGCCUGAUUCUACGUCCUCUCAUCAAGCUGCAGAGUGACAGCAUCUCUCCGGUUUUACAGAUUCACGAUGUGUGCAUCCAAUUUGAGUUUAAUGUCGUAUUGAAACUGACUAAUAUUCAGUUUCCACAGCUGAGGCCCAAUGGAGGGAGCCGCGUCACCACGCUGCGCCACAGGAAUCCCUCUGUCAUCACGGACAGCUCGGGGGACACACCCAGGAUCGGAUGUAUGGGAGUGUGUGUGUUUAAUAAAUGCACUGUUGAGUU